CAAUAGCGUAUAUUAAAGUUGUUGCAGUUAAAAAGCUCGUAGUUGGAUUUCUCGCCGGAGCGACCGGUCCGCCCCUCACGGGGUGUGCACUCGUGUCGGCUUGGGCGAUCCUUGUGGAGAGCGUUCGCCCUGUUCAUUCAGUGCGUUCGGGAUCUGCAUCGUUUACUGUGAAAAAAUUAGAGUGCUCCACGCAAGCAAUACGCCUGGAUAUCUCAGCAUGGAAUAAUAAGAUAGGACUCGUGUACUAUUUUGUUGGUUUGCAUACCCGAGUAAUGAUUAAUAGGGAUAGUUGGGGGUAUUCGUAUUUAUUUGUCAGAGGUGAAAUUCUUGGAUUUAAGAAAGACGAACUACUGCGAAAGCAUUUACCAAGGAUGUUUUCAUUAAUCAAGAACGAAAGUUAGGGGAUCGAAGACGAUCAGAUACCAU
rnacentral:rRNA from 1 species